CACGUAGGGUGCGAGCGUUGUCCGGAAUUAUUGGGCGUAAAGAGCUCGUAGGCGGCGGGGUAAGUCGGGUGUGAAAUCUCAGGGCUCAACCCUGAAACUGCACUCGAUACUGCUCUGCUUGAGGACUGGAGAGGAGACUGGAAUUCACGGUGUAGCAGUGAAAUGCGUAGAUAUCGUGAGGAAGACCAGUGGCGAAGGCGGGUCUCUGGACAGUUCCUGACGCUGAGGCGCGAAGGCCAGGGGAGCAAACGGG
rnacentral:rRNA from 1 species